CCAAGCACUAAAUAACCAAGGAAAAGGAAGUGAGUCAAGGACGUACUCCUCUUGGUGACAGCGUGGGCUGCUGAGAUUUGGGAGUCUGCGCUGGGUCCGCUUGGAGUUCUGAGCGGAUGGAAGAUUUCAGUCAUGUUUGCACCCGCAGUGAUGCAUGCUUUUCGCAAGAACAAGACUCUCCGCUAUGGAGUCCCCAUGUUGCUGCUGAUUGUUGGAGGUUCUUUUGGUCUUCGUGAGUUUUCUCAAAUCCGAUAUGAUGUUGUGAAGAUUAAAAUGGAUCCUGAGCUUGGAAAAAAACUGAAAGAGAAUAAAAUAUCUUUAGAGUCGGAAUAUGAGACUCCAAGUUUGAUGGCUGGAAGAAUAUUGGAGGACCCAGGCCUUGGGAAGAUCCUGACCUCCUCCAAGGAAGAAAUCCGGAAAGCCUUAAGACUAAGACAACUUGACUCUGUUGAUUCUUUUUUCCUUUUU